ACUUUUAGCGUGAUUGGUCAAAGGUAGCGAGGUAAUUUGUUUUUUUAUUGAAUUCUAGUAUGAAUGGAUUUUUUGUUAUUAAAUAUAUUGAUUUUAAAAAGAAUUUUAAAUUUAUUUAAAAAAUAAUAAAUAAAAUAAAACUAAGAAAAGUCUUUAGAAAUUUAUUAUUUAAUUUAAUUAGGGAAAUAAAAUAAUUAAUAUUUUUUUCUUAAUCAAAAAAAAAAAUUUCUCUAGAGUUAACAGAAAUAAAUAUUAAUUUAUUAUUUUUACAUCGAUGUUGUUUUAUUUAAUAUUAAAAAUGAGAAACUUUUGAGUGAGAGACUGUUCUUCUUUUUUUAAUACGUGAAAUUAGUUUAAUU
rnacentral:rRNA from 1 species